CUUGCAUCUCCAAAAAUUCAGGGGGGGAUGGGUUUUCGCGAUAUGGAGCUAUUCAACCUUGCACUUCUUGGGAAGCAUGGAUGGAGGUUCAUGGUCAGUCCUAAUUCCCUAUGCGCCCGGAUUAUGAAGGGUCGAUACUACCCGGAUUCAGACUUUCUGCAUGCCACAGUGCCGAAGUCAGCCUCCCCAAUUUGGCGCGCGAUUGUGGCUGGGCGUGAGGCCCUUCAAGCGGGUUUGAUCAUGCGAGUUGGUGAUGGAAGCUCUAUCUCUAUAUGGGAAGAUAAGUGGAUUCUAGGCACCAUUAGUAUGUCGCCCAUGUCAAUUAUCACUACUACUACAUUACAUAAAGUCAAUGAGCUCAUUGAUGAAGAUAAUUGGACAUGGAAGACGGAUCUUCUUCGACAAAACUUUCUUGCUCCAGAUGCAGAAGCUAUAUUAAACAUACCAUUACGCAUCGGAGGUGGACAGGAUUUCUUUGCUUGGGCUUUUGAAAACUCAGGUGUCUACACAGUCAAAUCAGCGUACUGUGCUCUCGUGAAUCAGAAAGAGCGUCAUGCUCUCGAGGAAGGGACGGUUACCGGCGCCUCAAAAUCGGAACAAUAG
rnacentral:rRNA from 1 species